CUUAUUUGAUAGUACCUUACUACAUGGAUACCUGUGGUAAUUCUAGAGCUAAUACAUGCUGAAAACCUCGACUUCGGAAGGGGUGUAUUUAUUAGAUAAAAAACCAAUGCCCGUUCGGGGCUCCUUGGUGAAUCAUAAUAACUUAACGAAUCGCAUGGCCUUGCGCCGGCGAUGGUUCAUUCAAAUUUCUGCCCUAUCAACUUUCGAUGGUAGGAUAGUGGCCUACCAUGGUGGCAACGGGUAACGGGGAAUUAGGGUUCGAUUCCGGAGAGGGAGCCUGAGAAACGGCUACCACAUCCAAGGAAGGCAGCAGGCGCGCAAAUUACCCAAUCCCGACACGGGGAGGUAGUGACAAUAAAUACUGAUACGGGGCUCUUUUGGGUCUCGUAAUUGGAAUGAGUACAAUCUAAAUCCCUUAACGAGGAACAAUUGGAGGGCAAGUCUGGUGCCAGCAGCCGCGGUAAUUCCAGCUCCAAUAGCGUAUAUUAAAGUUGUUGCAGUUAAAAAGCUCGUAGUUAACCUUGGGUCUGGCUGGCCGGUCCGCCUCACCGCGAGUACUGGUCCGGCUGGACCUUUCCUUCUGGGGAAUCUCAUGGCCUUCACUGGCUGUGGGGGGAACCAGGACUUUUACUGUGAAAAAAAUUAGAGUGUUCAAAGCAGGCCUUUGCUCGAAUACAUUAGCAUGGAAUAAUAGAAUAGGACGUGCGGUUCUAUUUUGUUGGUUUCAGUAAGGA
rnacentral:rRNA from 1 species